rnacentral:lncRNA from 1 species
CAAGAGGGGAAAAGGCAAACCCUAAAAGUGCUGCAGACCUUAAAAAACUUAGCCACAGGGUGGAUGUCACUUGAGUUUACAGUUUAUAUUUUGCUGGUGGAAGUGUUUUCUGGGUGCUGUCAGUUGACUCUGGUUGUUCACUUGGAUAAACGAAGAGGUUAGUGCAGAACAAUUUGAUCCAUAUGCAUUUCAUUUUCGAUUUUCAAGUUUACAUUUCUGUUUUCUCCUAAAGCUCUCCAUGUUUUAUUGGGGACCAUCUGAUGAUUUUUGCAAAGCGAUGAUGGUAGUGUGUGCUUAAAUGCUUGUGCUAGUCUCCACUCUCAAAACGUGGACCAUCCCUCUAGGGCAAGUAACUCCUAAUCACUGCACCCAGGAACCAGCUCCACUGAAGAAACACAAGCGCUCCUUGACCUAGGAUUUCUUUAGGAGUUUUCAGGCCAACCUCCACUUAUCCUAAGAUAAUUUCCCCUCUUUUUAGGAAAGUUGCACGCCGCCAGGCUUGGAGGUUGCUGCUUGGUGCAGUUUACUCAUGUUGGCAAAGACUUCAUAGUUAAACGCCCUCCAUUUACCUGAAGUUAUCUUGCCUUUCAUUUCAUUAGUUAAUCAGAUAUUUUAUGCCACCCUAGAUGUUUUAUUGGGUUCUAGUUGCUUAAAAACUUUAACUGUAUUAUUGCAAUAUCAUUAAAAUGUUGCACAAAGAGUAAUUCUACUGUAUAUAGCCCUGGAAGGUGAGA